AUGUCUCUGUGUGUCUGUGCGUCUCUGUGUUUAUGCGUGUGUGUGUCUUUGCGUGUCCCUGUCUGUGCAUGUCUGUGUCUGUGUGUGUCUGUGUGUGUCUUUGUGUGUCUGGUGUGUGUGUCUCUGUGUAUGCAUGUCUGUGCAUGUCUGUGUCUGUGCGUGUCUGUGCGUGUCUGUGUGUGUCUGUGUGUGUCUUUGUGUGUCUGGUGUGUGUGUCUCUGUGUAUGCAUGUCUGUGCAUGUCUGUGUCUGUGUGUGUCUGUGUGUGUCUGUGUGUGUCUGGGGCGCUGGCUGGAGCACUGCCCGGUGUGUGGGUCCCUGGCAGCCCCAGGCAGAGGGGCGGCUGUGUGCUCCACGGGCUCCAUCAGGGAAGAAGGGGCCCCGAAGGCCAGCAGGGUGUGUGUGUGGAGGGGCCACUCUGCCCAGUGUGCCAGGCCAGGCACCUGGGUGGGGCGGCCGGCUGGGCUGGAGGGACCCGCUGCUGCUCCAGGCCCGGGGCCUGCUGCUUGAUGGCGCCCCGAGUCCUGCUGGAGAGUGGGGUCCCCUUCUCGCCCUGGGACUGGAGGGGACUCAAGUGCUUGACUCUAAAUGUCUGCUGUUCCCGGCUUCCUGGGUGGCGCUAGCGCUAAAAGAAAGAUAGGAAAGAAAGUGAAGUUGCUACGUUGCGUCCAACUCUGUGAUCCCAGGGACUGCAACCUGCCAGGCUCCUCUGUCCACAGGAUUCUCCAGGCAAGAAUCCUGGAGCUGGUAGCCAUUCCCUCCUCCAGGGGAAUCUUCCCAACCCAGGGAUCGAAUGCCAGUUUCCUGCAUUGCAGGCAGGUUCUUUACCAUCUGAGCCACCAGGGAAGACCCAAAGCUAAAUACUGGAACAAAACUGAUAGUCAACAAGUACCAUAAGGGAGAGCUGAAGAGAGAGUUCAAGAGAGA
rnacentral:lncRNA from 1 species